UUCAUUGGGCGUAAAGGGUGCGUAGGCGGCGCGGAAAGUCCGGCGUGAAAGGCAGAGGCUCAACCUCUGGACUGCGUUGGAUACUUCCGUGCUUGAGGACUGGAGGGGAGACUGGAAUUCACGGUGUAGCAGUGAAAUGCGUAGAUAUCGUGAGGAAGACCGGCGGCGAAGGCGAGUCUCUGGACAGAUCCUGACGCUGAGGCACGAAGGCUGGGGGAGCGAACAGGAUUAGAUACCCUGGUAGUCCCAGCAGUAAACGAUGUGAGCUUGAUGUGGGGGGAUUCGACCCCUUCCGUGUCGAAGCUAACGCGAUAAGCUCACCGCCUGAGGAGUACGGCCGCAAGGCUAAAACUCAAAGAAAUUGACGGGGACCCGCACAAGCGGUGGAGUAUGUGGCUUAAUUCGAUGCAACGCGAAGAACCUUACCUGGCCUUGACAUGCAUUGUGUCGUCGGUGAAAGCCGGCUAGUCCUGGAAACAGGACGCUUUGCACAGGUGCUGCAUGGCUGUCGUCAGCUCGUGUCGUGAGAUGUUGGGUUAAGUCCCGCAACGAGCGCAACCCUUGUGGUCAGUUACUAACCGGCUUAGCCGGAGGACUCUGGCCAGACUGCCCUGUCAAACGGGGAGGAAGGUGGGGACGACGUCAAGUCAGUAUGGCCCUUAUGGCCAGGGCUGCACACGUACUACAAUGCCCGGUACAAUGUGAACCGAAACCGCGAGGUGGAGGAAAUCGCUCUUGAAAACCGGGCCCAGUUCGGAUUGGAGUCUGCAACUCGACUCCAUGAAGUCGGAAUCGCUAGUAAU
rnacentral:rRNA from 1 species